GGAUUGACGGUACCUUCCAAGAAAGCACCGGCUAACUCCGUGCCAGCAGCCGCGGUAAUACGGAGGGUGCAAGCGUUGCUCGGAAUUACUGGGCGUAAAGCGUACGCAGGCGGUCUGAUAAGUCGGGUGUGAAAGCCCCGGGCUCAACCCGGGAACUGCAUUCGAAACUGCCAGACUUGAGUUUGGGAGAGGGAAGUGGAAUUCCUGGUGUAGAGGUGAAAUUCGUUGAUAUCAGGAGGAACACCGGCGGCGAAAAGCGGCUUCCUGGCCCGAUACUGACGCUCAUGUACGAAAGCGUGGGGAGCAAAACAGGAUUAGAUACCCUGGUAGUCCACGCCGUAAACGAUGAGUGCUAGAUGUUGGAGGUAUUCACCCCUUCAGUGUCGAAGCUAACGCAUUAAGCACUCCGCCUGGGGAGUACGGCCGCAAGGUUAAAACUCAAAGGAAUUGACGGGGG
rnacentral:rRNA from 1 species